rnacentral:lncRNA from 1 species
GCGUUUACUUUACUCACUGUUAUUUCUCUCUCCGAAAGCUUCCUACACUACAACAGAAUUAGAUUAUAGGGACACAUAUUUGGGACACUUUUAAGUAAGUAUCUCAUUUAUGCUAAAACUUAAAAACACAUCUACUAAUGCCUAAAUAUGAAGUCCAAUCUAACCAAAAAUAAAAGAUUACUCUACUCAACCCACCACACUGAGUCUAUUUGGCCCGAUUACAAACAGAAAAGAAAAAAAAAGAAAAAUCAAUUACCAUCUUUUCUUCUCUCUUCACUCAAUUCACUGAAAUUCUAAACGAAGAGCCUUUACUGUCGUCCUCCUCCGCCACCGCAGCCAACGAGAUAGAGUUUCGGCGGUUGCUAAAUGCUUAAAUAAGUAUUGGUAAAUUAGCAGCACUCUUUUAGGUUAUAGCGACACUCUUUAACUGUCACUAUAUACCUAGCAACCCCACAUAUAGCAACACUUUUUAAAAGUAUCGGUAAUUUUAGCUAACAACACUUUUUUGACAUGUACCUACAUUUAAAAGUGUCGCUAUAGACCGUUUUUGUUGUAGUGCUACCUCUUUCUAGGCGUGCUAUUUUUUUUUAAAAAAUAAUAGCAAGCUAUCUGCUUUAUUUAUAAAGUAGCAUAAACUUGAUAACAGAGG